GAGGGUAGAGCUCAGGGGUAGAGAGUAUACUUAGCAUGCACAAGGUCCUGGGUUCAACCCCCAGUAACUUCA
rnacentral:tRNA from 1 species